CAAACCAUGUUGAAACACUGGUUUUCAUAUAAUCACCAAAGUUAAGCAACAUUGGGCCUGGUCAGUAGCUAAAUGGGUGACAGCUUGGAAAUACCAGGUGUUGUAAG